GCCGGGCGUGGUGGCUCACGCCUGUAAUCCCAGCACUUUGGGAGGCUGAGGUGGGUGGAUCACCUGAGGUCAGGAGUUCGAGACCAGCCUGACCAACAUGGAGAAACCCAGUCUCUA
rnacentral:SRP_RNA from 1 species